CGAAGGGGGCUAGCGUUGUUCGGAAUUACUGGGCGUAAAGCGCGCGCAGGCGGCUAUCCAAGUCAGUGGUGAAAGCCCGGAGCUCAACUCCGGAACUGCCAUUGAAACUGUUUAGCUUGAGGACGAGAGAGGUGAGUGGAAUUCCCAGUGUAGAGGUGGAAUUCGUAGAUAUUGGGAAGAACACCGGUGGCGAAGGCGGCUCACUGGCUCGUUUCUGACGCUCAGGCGCGAUAGCGUGGGGAUCAAACAGGAUUAGAUACCCUGGUAGUCCACGCCGUAAACGAUGAUUGCUAGCCGUUGGGCAGCUUGCUGUUCAGUGGCGCAGCUAACGCAUUAAGCAAUCCGCCUGGGGAGUACGGCCGCAAGGUUG
rnacentral:rRNA from 1 species